UGUCUUUUCUUUGCACCCACAAUAGACAAACAGCGUCCACGAAUCAUUGCCCAAGGAUAAUGCAACAUGAAUUUUAAAUUUGCCUCCACCCAUCUAGGACCAUGAUUAAAAUAUGUAAAUGCUUAACACCACUCAUCAUAUACCUACAUGGGAUAGUUGUCCUGCAAGAUGAAAAUUUUUACACAGGCUAAAUUUCGCUUAUUUUCAGCAGGUCUGGCACUGGAGCUAUUCCUGUAUACAACUACGUGUCUUCUUGUGAGAAUCCGAUAACCUGGAGCGAGUUUAUUAACAAGAACAUGAAGCACAGCUGGGAGGUUCCAUUUGAUAAUGCAGUGUGGAUGUAUAGUCUCACCUUGAUACAUGUGCACGUAUUGUACAAAUUGUAUGCAUUGCUGAUUCAACUUCUCCCAGCACUAGUGGGAGACAUUGCAUUGUUUGCCAUUGGACAAAAGCCCAGGUUGAUGUCGAUUUACAGGAAGAUAAACAAGCUCUUAGAUGCCACUUCAUACUUCCGCAAUCGACAGUGGACGUUUUCUAACCAGAAUAUGAUUCAUAUGUGGAACAAGCUCAGUGAAGACGACC